AGCGGCGUGAUGCUGGCGGGCGCGGCGCCCGGCAGCCUGGAGGGCGGCCCGGCCCAGGCUGGCCCCGGCGGCUGGAGGGGCCGGGCGGCGGGGGCGCCCCAGCCUCCAAGUGGGCGCCCAAGGCGGGUUGGGAAGUGGCAGAACAAGCCCCGGCUGCCGACAUCGGUUCGAUUUUCUGCCCAGCCUCUGACUCGGGUGUGACUUAGGCGCUCCUUGCCUCAGUCUGGUCAUCAGUAAAAUGGACGCGACAUUACAAGCUGCAGUAACCCAUUACUGGGCUACAGAGCAGCUGGGGUCAUUACAUAUUUAGACUGUCGGGCAUCACUUUGUGCUCUGACUCGGUUUGAUCUUGUAUCUUUGAGCAAACUUCAUAAUCUCACCGCGACUCAGUUACCCCAUCUGUUAAAGUAGCAAGGACGUCUCACCUCUCCGGUGGUUUGGAGAUUCCACGAAUCAGUAGUGAGACAACAGCUGGCAUGUCUCAGGGGUCUGCCCUCCGCCCCAUCAAGGACCAGAGGGACUGUGGGAAGUUUUCUUCGUGGCCUGAACCAUGUAGGGUGGGGAGUGUAAGCGCCCCUGGAAAUAAGAUCUUUGUUCCCCAAUCGGAGAUUGAACCCAGUGGAAGCAUAGAGUCCCAAACCACUGACCUGCCAGAGCAGCCCCCAGUGAGUCUAUUUAAAGCUACUAGGGGACUUUUCUGGUGGUCUAGCAGCCAAGAUUUCUGAGCUUCCACUGCACGGGAUGCUGGUUCGAUACCAGGUCGGGGAACUAAGAUGUCACAUGCCACUCACUGUGGCCAUAAGACUCCCCCCCCCCCCCAAAGCAAAAACAAGCAAACCUGUAAUGGGGCUACUGAAAAACUGCUUUAUUACACACGUGGCAGC
ensembl:lncRNA